ACCCUGAGAGCGUCUCGGAAACUCCUUAGGUUGAGCAGUGGAGAGGCAUCUGGAAUGCCGCAUGUAGGAGUAAAAUCCGUAGAUAUGCGGUAGAACGCCAAAAGCGAAGGCAGGAUGCUAGCCACUUGCUGACACUGAGAGACGAAAGCGUGGGGAGCAAAGGGGAUUAGAUACCCCCGUAGUCCACGCCCUAAACGAUGUGUGCUCGAUGUGGGAGGUUCUCAAUUGCCUUCCGUGUCCAAGCUAACGCGGUAAGCACACCGCCUGGGAAGUACGGUCGCAAGACUAAAACUCAAAGGAAUAGACGGGGACCCACACAAGCGGUGGAGCAUGGGGUUUAAUUCGAUAGUAAGCGAAGAACCUCACCCAGGCUUGACAUCUCGGGAAGCCUCCAGAAACGGAGGUGUGCCG
rnacentral:rRNA from 1 species